rnacentral:rRNA from 1 species
AGUGAAUAGAUACCCAGGUAGUCCACGCCGUAAACGAUGAGUGCUAAGUGUUAGGGGGUUUCCGCCCCUUAGUGCUGCAGCUAAACGCAUUAAGCACUCCGCCUGGGGAGUACGGUCGCAAGACUGAAACUCAAAGGAAUUGACGGGGGCCCGCACAAGCGGUGGAGCAUGUGGUUUAAUUCGAAGCAACGCGAAGAACCUUACCAGGUCUUGACAUCCCGUUGACCACUGUAGAGAUAUGGUUUUCCCUUCGGGGACAACGGUGACAGGUGGUGCAUGGUUGUCGUCAGCUCGUGUCGUGAGAUGUUGGGUUAAGUCCCGCAACGAGCGCAACCCUUGAUCUUAGUUGCCAUCAUUUAGUUGGGCACUCUAAGGUGACUGCCGGUGACAAACCGGAGGAAGGUGGGGAUGACGUCAAAUCAUCAUGCCCCUUAUGACCUGGGCUACACACGUGCUACAAUGGACGAUACAAACGGUUGCCAACUCGCGAGAGGAGCUAAUCCGAUAAAGUCGUUCUCAGUUCGGAUUGUAGGCUGCAAC